rnacentral:rRNA from 1 species
UACGGGGGGGCAAGCGUUGUUCGGAAUUACUGGGCGUAAAGGGUUCGUAGGUGGCCAACUAAGUCAGACGUGAAAUCCCUCAGCUUAACUGGGGAACUGCGUCUGAUACUGGUUGGCUUGAGUGCAGGAGAGGAAUGCGGAAUUCCAGGUGUAGCGGUGAAAUGCGUAGAUAUCUGGAGGAACACCGGUGGCGAAGGCGGCGUUCUGGACUGCAACUGACACUGAGGAACGAAAGCCAGGGAGCAAACGGG